UACGGAGGGUGCAAGCGUUAUCCGGAUUCACUGGGUUUAAAGGGUGCGUAGGUGGGUUGGUAAGUCAGUGGUGAAAUCUCCGGGCUUAACCUGGAAACUGCCAUUGAUACUAUCAAUCUUGAAUACCUUGGAGGUGAGCGGAAUAUGUCAUGUAGCGGUGAAAUGCUUAGAUAUGACAUAGAACACCAAUUGCGAAGGCAGCUCACUACCCAGAUAUUGACACUGAGGCACGAAAGCGUGGGGAUCAAACAGG
rnacentral:rRNA from 1 species